GCUAGCACCCUCCCCUGCGUGUCUGCAACCAUAGAUCUCUACGUGCGGCGGCGGCUCCCAGCGGUAGAAGCCAUGGCGUCUCGGCGAUGGCGUCAGAUCCCGGCGGCAGGCCAGGAGAGACCCCAACCAGGUCCGUGCACGGGAGGCGAUAUCAUUCCGUCUCCACCGAUUAUGCUGUCAAUUCUGGAAAAUGUUCCAAUGUGUAGGUUACAGGCUCUCCUCCACGGACUUAUCGUCCAAUAAAAAACAUCAAGAAAUACAUGUUGUUGCAACUUGGGACGGUGAUGAACUCCCAAAAAUAUAGAGCAGGAUAUGAGGCUCCCUCGGCGAGUUUAGGGGCGACUAAAAGCAUCGAUGCCUCGACGGUACAC